rnacentral:rRNA from 1 species
AUUGAACGCUGGCGGCAUGCUUUACACAUGCAAGUCGAACGGCAGCGCGGGCUUCGGCCUGGCGGCGAGUGGCGAACGGGUGAGUAAUACAUCGGAACGUGCCCAGUAGUGGGGGAUAGCUCGGCGAAAGCCGGAUUAAUACCGCAUACGACCUGAGGGUGAAAGCGGGGGAUCUUCGGACCUCGCGCUAUUGGAGCGGCCGAUGGCAGAUUAGCUAGUUGGUGGGGUAAAGGCCUACCAAGGCGACGAUCUGUAACUGGUCUGAGAGGACGACCAGCCACACUGGGACUGAGACACGGCCCAGACUCCUACGGGAGGCAGCAGUGGGGAAUUUUGGACAAUGGGCGAAAGCCUGAUCCAGCAAUGCCGCGUGUGUGAUGAAGGCCUUCGGGUUGUAAAGCACUUUUGGCUGGAACGAAAAGGACUGUGCCAAUACCACGGUUCGAUGACGGUACCCGCAGAAUAAGCACCGGCUAACUACGUG